UGUAACUCCAUCCAUAACACAAAAAAACCAAAAAACUUUUGUAUUUCCUUUAUCCAUAUAUGAAGUGAAGUCAUUCUGUUGCAUAGUUUGUUCUCAUUAAACUUGUACUAUUUGUUGAAAUUUUGAAUAUGUUGUUCUAAUUAGUAUUUGAAAGAAAAUAACAUUUUAUUACUGAAUGGUAGGAUUAAUGUUCUAAUUAGUAUUUGAAAGAAAAUAGCAUUUUAUUACUGAAUGGUAGGAUUAAUUGUCCCCCGUACAACCUCACUCCCCGCAAAUAGCAAUCUACAACCAAC
rnacentral:lncRNA from 1 species